rnacentral:rRNA from 1 species
AUUGAACGCUGGCGGCAUGCCUUACACAUGCAAGUCGAACGGCAGCACGGGUGCUUGCACCUGGUGGCGAGUGGCGAACGGGUGAGUAAUACAUCGGAACGUACCUUAUCGUGGGGGAUAACGCAGCGAAAGCUGUGCUAAUACCGCAUACGCCCUGAGGGGGAAAGCGGGGGAUCGCAAGACCUCGCGCGAUUAGAGCGGCCGAUGCCUGAUUAGCUUGUUGGUGGGGUAAAAGCCCACCAAGGCGACGAUCAGUAGCUGGACUGAGAGGACGAUCAGCCACACUGGGACUGAGACACGGCCCAGACUCCUACGGGAGGCAGCAGUAGGGAAUCUUCCACAAUGGACGAAAGUCUGACCGAGCAACGCCGCGUGAAUGAAGAAGGCCUUCGGGUUGUAAAAUUCUGUUAUAAGGGAAGAAAGACGUGAGUAGGAAAUGGCUCACGAGUGACGGUACCUUAUGAGUAAGCCACGGCUAACUACGUGCCAGCCGCCGCCGUAA